rnacentral:hammerhead_ribozyme from 1 species
GUUCAGCUGAUGAGUUCUAAAUAAGACGAAACGCGUGUCCUGGAU